rnacentral:misc_RNA from 1 species
UCUCCGUAGGUGAACCUGCGGAGGGAUCAUUACAGAGUUCAUGCCCUACCGGGUAGAUCUCCCACCCUAUGUUAUUAUUACUUUGUUGCUUUGGCGGGCCGUUAGGCUCCGGCCCGACUACCGGCCCCGGCUGGUAAGCGCCCGCCAGAGGACCCAAAACCCUGAAUAUUAGUGUCGUCUGAGUACUAUAUAAUAGUUAAGACUUUCAACAACGGAUCUCUUGGUUCUG